rnacentral:rRNA from 1 species
AGUGAACGCUGGCGGUAGGCCUAACACAUGCAAGUCGAGCGGCAGCACAGUAAGAGCUUGCUCUUACGGGUGGCGAGUGGCGGACGGGUGAGGAAUACAUCGGAAUCUACUUUUUCGUGGGGGAUAACGUAGGGAAACUUACGCUAAUACCGCAUACGACCUACGGGUGAAAGCAGUGGAUCUUCGGACCUUGCGCGAUUGAAUGAGCCGCUGUCGGAUUGGCUAGUUGGGGGGGUAAAGGCCCACCAAGGCGACGAUCCGUAGCUGGUCUGAGAGGAUGAUCAGCCACACUGGAACUGAGACACGGUCCAGACUCCUACGGGAGGCAGCAGUGGGGAAUAUUGGACAAUGGGCGCAAGCCUGAUCCAGCCAUACCGCGUGGGUGAAGAAGGCCUUCGGGUUGUAAAGCCCUUUUGUUGGGAAAGAAAAGCAGCAGGUUAAUACCCCGCUGUUCUGACGGUACCCAAAGAAUAAGCACCGGCUAACUUCGUG